rnacentral:tRNA from 1 species
GCACUAUGUAGCUCAGCGACCUAGAGCGCCCGCCUUGUAAGCGGGAGGCCUGAGGUUAAAAUCCUCACUAGAGCA